rnacentral:lncRNA from 1 species
UUGCCUAGCUUCCAGUGACUGUCCGAGAUGACCUGUGGAGUGCACCGCCUGUACUUGGACAUCACUGUCUUUUCCGAUCCAUACCCGUCAUCCUUGGAAUUUCCCCUGCAUCCAAACCUGUUCCUGAUACAGGUAUAACCCUAAGGAAUAUCUUGGAUGUCUUCACGGGGCUUAUGACUUAUUCUGAGGUUUACAAAAUAGAGGCCCCCAGCUGAGCAAAGAGAGGGCUGCAGCGCCGAGGGAACAGCUGCCGGACUCACCGGAGAGGCCUCCUGGAGCACGCCGGGACCCCCUCCACCCCCUGGCUUUGGCUGCAUCCAUGGCUAGUUUGCCUGAACUAUAUCUGAGCCACUGAGAGUAUUUAUUAAGCAGAGAAUAAUUUUGAGUUUCACUUUUAUAACUUUUGUUUCAAAAGUUGUUUUGGAUAAUUUAAUGAAAUGACUGUAAACCAGAAUUCCCCUUUUCAUUAUUUCUUUGUGUCGAUAUAAAAAGAGUUGAUGAUUUUAAAAGCCAGUGAGAUGUCCCUGUCUGUGGAUGUCAGCGGGAGCGUGGGGUCUGAAGCCUUUCUCUGGUGGCUGUCCAGGAAGAUUGCCCCAGCUUGCACUCCCUUUUGGCGGGUUCCAGAGCCUUCCAUUUGAAAGGAGCAUCUCUCCCCACUCUGCCCCACCCAGCACCAGCUCUUCUGGAACCCACUGACUUCCUAAACACUUUCUUCCUCCUUCACCUCAUUGAAUUCAAGACUUUAGAAAACAGCCAAAAACUCUAGAGGUGGGGGUGGGUGUGAUCUGGAAAUCCCUGCUGUAAUCUUUUUAAGGGAAUCCACUGGAAAUUAUUAAUUUAUGUUUUAAAUAAAACCAUUCCUUACUUCACAGAAUAUUAAGCCACUCACUUUUUAACAGAACUUUGAGAUAUAAUUAAAAUGCCGUAAAUUUCACCCCCACACAGUGUACAGUUCCAAGGUUUCCAAUAUAGUCACAGAAGUCUCUGCAACAAUUACCACAAUUUUAGACAUGAAGACCAUUUGUUGGCAGCCCUACCUGUAUCUAUGUGUAUAUAUAUAAUUUUAAUAUUGGAUUAGAUGUUAUAGUAUUUAAUAUUGUACUGUUACCUAUUUGUGUCUUUAUAUUGCUGUUUUUUAUUCAGGUGAAUAAUAAUUAUCUCCAUAUAGUCAUACAUUUAUAUAGGGUUAAAACAUACCUUUUUACAAUUCAAUAAAUUAAAUUGGCCAGGCGUGGUGGCUCAUGCCUGUAAUCCCAGCACUUUGGGAGGCCGAGGGGGGCGGAUCACCUGAGGUUGGGGGUUCGAGACCAGCCUGACCAACAUGGAGAAACCCUGUCUGUACUAAAAAUACAAAAAAUUAGCCGGGUGUGGUGGCUCAUGCCUGUAAUCCCAGCUACUUGGGAGGCUGAGGCAGGAGAAUCACUAGAACCCAGGAGGCGGACGUUGCGGUAAGCCGGGAUCGCACCAUUGCACUCCAGCCUGGGCAACAAGACCAAAACUCCAUCUCAAGAAAAAAAAAAAAAAAAAAAGAAAGUAAAUUGUUUUUAAUUACUCACAUAAGAAACACAUGUGUUAUUGUUAUAAAAAUUCACAUAGUGCUUAGGUCUACAGAAUAAACGUAUCCCCGCCACCUCCCAGCCCACCCCCUCGUCUGCAUUCACCUACACACAGUUAAACAUGCACAUAUGUUUCCGUGACACGAUCUUGUUUGCAUAUUGUUCACUGAUUUGCUUUUCCAUAUAAGAUUUAAUUUGGUGAUUAUUGCUUAUCAGUACCUAUAGGUCUCUCUCAUUAUUAUUUAUAAUUACAUCAUUAUUCCAUAGGGUAUUUUACCAUAAUUUGGUCACUUUUUCACUGAGGAAUUUUUAUGUCAGUUUCAGUUAUUUGUUAUUGUUACCAAUGCUGUACUGGGCAUCCCUGUAUAUCCACCUUUUUGUUGCAUUAGUUAAGUGGUUUUUUCCUUUUAUGAUUGAUUUCUAAAAAUAAAAUACUGCAGCAAAUGUUAAUGUUUAAUAUUUUCAUAAAAUUAAAAAUCUG